rnacentral:rRNA from 1 species
UAGGGAAUCUUCGGCAAUGGACGAAAGUCUGACCGAGCAACGCCGCGUGAGUGAAGAAGGUUUUCGGAUCGUAAAACUCUGUUGUUAGAGAAGAACAAGGACGUUAGUAACUGAACGUCCCCUGACGGUAUCUAACCAGAAAGCCACGGCUAACUACGUGCCAGCAGCCGCGGUAAUACGUAGGUGGCAAGCGUUGUCCGGAUUUAUUGGGCGUAAAGCGAGCGCAGGCGGUUUCUUAAGUCUGAUGUGAAAGCCCCCGGCUCAACCGGGGAGGGUCAUUGGAAACUGGGAGACUUGAGUGCAGAAGAGGAGGGUGGAAUUCCAUGUGUAGCGGUGAGAUGCGUAGAUAUAUGGAGGAACACCAGUGGCGAAGGCGGCUCUCUGGUCUGUAACUGACGCUGAGGCUCGAAAGCGUGGGGAGCAAACAGG